GAACGUAGAGACAAGGCACUUCACACUAACUACAUCACUAGUUUCCUGAUAUAAAAAAAACAAUCAACAAAAGUAACAGAAACUGCAUUAAAUCCUCAAAAAUAAGCUGCUACAAAGUACAAACACUCAAAAUGUGUUUUAAUAAGCUCUCAUCACCAACCUUUUCACUUUUUUGUUUCUGCCCCAACAGACAGCAUCUUAGCUCGACAAAAAAAAAGUGCUAAAACUCCUUCACAAAAACGUGCACAAAAAAAAACAUAUGUAUCCUAAUUAUUUUGUCCAACUAGCUAGCAAAUCCAAAUCAAGAAUCUUUAUAUAAAACGUGCACAAAACACAUGUAUCCUAAUUAUUU
rnacentral:lncRNA from 1 species